rnacentral:rRNA from 1 species
CUGAAAUUCGCCUUCAUGAAGUCGGAAUUGCUAGUAAUGGCAGGUCAGCAUACUGCCGUGAAUACGUUCCCGGGCCUUGUACACACCGCCCGUCACACCAUGAGAGUUGGGAAUACCCGAAGCCUGUGAGCCAACAAACGAGGCAGCAGUCGAAGGUAGAAUCAAUGAUUGGGUGAAGUCGUAACAAGGUAAC